rnacentral:rRNA from 1 species
CCUACGGGAGGCAGCAGUAAGGAAUAUUGGACAAUGCUCGCAAGAGUGAUCCAGCCAUGCCGCGUGCAGGAAGAAUGCCCUAUGGGUAGUAAACUGCUUUUGAACUAGAGAAAACCCCAGUACGUGUACUGGGCUGAUAGUAUAGUUAGAAUAAGCAUCGGCUAACUUCGUGCCAGCAGCCGCGGUAAGACGAAGGAUGCAAGCGUUAUCCGGAUUCAUUGGGUUUAAAGGGAGCGUAGGUGGACUGAUAAGUCAGUGGUGAAAUCUCCGAGCUUAACUCGGAAAUUGCCAUUGAUACUGUUGGUCUUGAGUACAGUUGCUGUGGGCGGAAUAUGACAUGUAGUGGUGAAAUACAUAGAGAUGUCAUAGAACACCGAUUGCGAAGGCAGCUCACAAAGCUGUAACUGACACUGAGGCUCGAAAGUGCGGGGAUCAAACAGGAUUAGAUACCCUGGUAGUCCGCACCGUAAACGAUGAUUACUCNCNNGUGGGCGACGUUAGUGUGUAGNGAGAGAAGUAGUAAUUACAC